rnacentral:rRNA from 1 species
GACGAACGCUGGCGGCGUGCUUAACACAUGCAAGUCGAACGGAAAGGCCCCUUCUGGGGUACUCUAGUGGCGAACAGGUAAGUAACACGUGAGUAACCUUCCCUUAACUUCGUGAUAACUUCAGGAAACUGGGGCUAAUACCGAAUAGGAAUCCUUGCUGCAGGGUGGGGGUUGGAAGGCUUCGGCGGUUUUUGGUGGACUUGCGGCUUAGCAGCUUGUCGGUGCGGUAGUGGCGUACCAAUGCUUUGACGGGUAGCCGGACCGAGAAGGCGACCGGCAACAUUGGGACUGAGAUACGGCACCGCUUCCUACGGGAGGGAGCAGUGGCGAAUAUUGCCAAAUGGGAGGAAGCCUGCUGCCGCAACGCCGAGUGCGGGAUGACGGGCUUCGGGUUGUAACCCGCUUUCAGCAGGAGCGAAGCUUGUGGUGACGGUACCUGCAGAAGAAGCAACGGCUAACUACGUG